rnacentral:rRNA from 1 species
UGCAGGCUGAAACCCGCCUGUAUGAGGUUGGAAUCGCUAGUAAUCGCGGAUCAGCAUGCCGCGGUGAAUACGUUCCCGGGCCUUGUACACACCGCCCGUCACACCAUGAGAGUCGGGAACACCCGAAGUCCGUAGCCUAACCGCGAAGGGGGGCGCGGCCGAAGGUGGGUUCGAUAAUUGGGGUGAAGUCGUAACAAGGUAGC